AAAAUGGUCAUCACAAACAAAUUCAGGUUUGGGAGUCGGUUAUGCAAGGGGAAGGUAUUAACACCCCUCACAUUCGUUGUACUAAACGGAAACCAUUUAGUUAGAUUUGCAAAUGGAAUGUUAUAUUUCGCUAUUUGUUUUCUUCUAGUUAUAUAUUUUUUUAUUAUGUUGCCUAACAAGGUUACGAGUCUUUCUCCUACGUAUCCUUAGGUGCGAUGAAGAAUUCAAAGCUACGUAGUUUUGGAUAGAAAAUGAUAUUUUUU
rnacentral:lncRNA from 1 species